AUGCCCCCGGUGCCCCCCGGGUCUGACCGGCUGCACGGCGACACCUGGCGGCCGCGGGCGGCGCAGCGCCCCGGGGCGGGGGGGCACCGGCCGCCGGUACCGGGCAGGGGCUCCCGGACACCCCCGGGCCGCUCCUACCCCCGCCCCGGGCACGCUCGGCCCCUGCACAAGCGCCCCUUGCCUUGCACAAGCGUCUCUCCCCUUGCACAAGUGCCCCCGGUUGCCCCAGCACGGUGCCUGGCCGCUGGCCGUGCCGCCCGGGGUGGCCCCCAGCUGUGCGUCACCUGCCCUGGCAGGGACACGGCAACGCAGGGCCUUCCCCGGCCCGGUGCAACGCCCACGCACAUCCUGCGCACGCAUGCACACACACACCGCCCGCACACGUGCACACAGCAGCAGACUCCGCAGGCUUGCACACGCGUGCACACACACUCCUCAUGCUGGCACACGCACCCCGCCUGCAGCCUUGCACAUGCACAUUUGUGCACACACCUGUCAUGCUUGCACCCCCCCCAUAUGCUUGCACGUGCAUGCACACCCCCAGGCACCAUCACACUACACACACACACACACACAGCUCAUUGCAGACUGCACACUCUGUCACACCCACACAAACCUGGCUGCCUGCACAGCCUGCAGCCAGCAUGCGUGUGCCCUCCCCGUGCAACCCGCACACAUGCACACACCCAGAAACACGCACAUUCCAGCAGACUGCGUGCGUGCACACGCCCACACCCUGCCUGCCUGUGCACCUGCACACACACACACACACACACCGUGCAGGCUGCACACGUGAACAUGCUGCCCAUAUGGCCUGCGUGCAUGCACACACACACACACACACACCACACAGUCUGCAUGUGCACCCCCCCAUCAUGCAGCUUGCACACGCGUGUGCAAGGACAAACACACCCCUGCCCUGCCGUCCCCCACCCUGCAGCCUGCCCUCGCACACACGUGGCCCGCGUGUCCCUGCACACAUGUGUCCCUACACAUGCAUGUCCCUGCACACGUGUGCACGCCUCGCAGGGGCACGCGUGGGCCCCGCCGCCCCACACCGUGCACCCGGGCCGGGCCGGGGGUCCCCGCGCCGUCCCUGCGCCUGGCCACCCCUGCUGCCGCGUUAGUCAGCGCCUCCCGGUUUUGGGGGGCGGAAGGAGGCGGGGGGCGGCCGCGGCCCUGGCGCCAGCCGGAGCCCGAAUUAGAAGGUCAUUUUCUCGGCAGGGAGCGGGGAGGGGUUUGGGCUGGAGCUGA
rnacentral:lncRNA from 1 species